rnacentral:misc_RNA from 1 species
AGCAGCCGCGGUAAUUCCAGCUCCAAUAGCGUAUAUUAAAGUUGUUGCAGUUAAAAAGCUCGUAGUUGAAUUUUGGAUUCUUCCAAUUGGUCCAUCUUUUAGAUGAGUACUAGUUGUGUGGGGUCUAUCCGCCUGGUGAUACGUAAUGUCCUUUAUUGGAUGUUGCGGGUAGUCAGGACCUUUACCUUGAAAAAAUUAGAGUGUUUAAAGCAGGCUUAUGCCGGAAUACAUUAGCAUGGAAUAAUAGAAUAGGACGAAGUUGUUUUAUUUUGUUGGUUUCUAGGACAACCGUAAUGAUUAAUAGGGAUAGUUGGGGGCAUUAGUAUUCAAUUGUCAGAGGUGAAAUUCUUGGAUUUAUUGAAGACUAACUACUGCGAAAGCAUUUGCCAAGGAUGUUUUCAUUAAUCAAGAACGAAAGUUAGGGGAUCGAAGACGAUCAGAUACCGUCGUAGUCUUAACCAUAAACUAUGCCGACUAGGGAUCGGGCGAUGUUGUUUCCAUGACUCGCUCGGCACCUUAU